AACGAACGCUGGCGGCAGGCUUAACACAUGCAAGUCGAACGCACCGCAAGGUGAGUGGCAGACGGGUGAGUAACACGUGGGGAUCUGCCCAAUGGUACGGAAUAGCUCCGGGAAACUGGAAUUAAUACCGUAUGUGCCCUUCGGGGGAAAGAUUUAUCGCCAUUGGAUGAACCCGCGUCGGUUUAGCUAGUUGGUGAGGUAAAGGCUCACCAAGGCGACGAUCCGGAGCUGGUCUGAGCCGAUGAUAAGCCAAACUGGGACUGAGAGCCGACCCAGACUCCUACGGGAGGCAGCAGGGGUGAAUAUUGGACAAUGGGCGCAAGCCUGAGCCAGCCAUGCCGCGUGAGUGAUGAAGGCCUUAGGGUUGUAAAGCUCUUUCGCCGACGAAGAUAAUGACGGUAGUCGGAGAAGAAGCCCCGGCUAACUUCGUGCCAGCCGCCGCGGUAA
rnacentral:rRNA from 1 species